AUUCUUAUAGUGUAUGUGCACAAGAGAUUUUCAAUUUCUAGGGAUAUUAAUAUAUUAUAUUAAGAAUA
rnacentral:tRNA from 1 species